rnacentral:rRNA from 1 species
AGCGAACGCUGGCGGCAGGCCUAACACAUGCCAGUCGAGCGAACUCUUCGGAGUUAGUGGCGGACGGGUGAGUAACACGUGGGAACGUGCCUUUUGGUUCGGAAUAACUCAGGGAAACUUGUGCUAAUACCGAAUGUGCCCUUCGGGGGAAAGAUUUAUCGCCAUUAGAGCGGCCCGCGUCUGAUUAGCUAGUUGGUGAGGUAACGGCUCACCAAGGCGACGAUCAGUAGCUGGUCUGAGAGGAUGACCAGCCACACUGGGACUGAGACACGGCCCAGACUCCUACGGGAGGCAGCAGUGGGGAAUCUUGCGCAAUGGGCGAAAGCCUGACGCAGCCAUGCCGCGUGAAUGAUGAAGGUCCUAGGAUUGUAAAAUUCUUUCACCGGGGACGAUAAUGACGGUACCCGGAGAAGAAGCCCCGGCUAACUUCGUG